AGAGUUUGAUCCUGGCUCAGAAUCAACGCUGGCGGCGUGCCUAACACAUGCAAGUCGAACGAGAAAGCGGGGGCAACUCCGUGAGUAAAGUGGCGACCGGGUGAGUAACACGUAGCUAACCUACCCUCGAGUGGGGGAUAACCUGGGGAAACCUGGGCUAAUACCGCAUAACAUCCUGAGAACGUGAGUUAUUGGGAGCA
rnacentral:rRNA from 1 species